UUUCCGUAGGUGAACCUGCGGAAGGAUCAUUCAUAAUUAGUGUUUUACUGCACUUUUUAAAAAUAGUACUCACCUUGUGUGCAAUGUUGUGUUUCUCUUCGGAGAGACACCUACACCAACCUAUAACCUAAAACCACUUUGUCUUAAAAACUAUUAUGAAUACUUAAUUCAAAAUACAACUUUCAACAACGGAUCUCUUGGCUCUC
rnacentral:misc_RNA from 1 species